AAAGGUCGCUACUGGUAAGAAAUGGCGAAUCAACCAGGCCCGAGUCAAGCGUGUUGCACCGUGAGGUGGAGGGGGAAGCGUUGACAAGGGAAAUCGAUGAGCCAGCCAUUGGGCUGUGAAAUCAGGAAUUCGGGUUGCCGAUGCUGUUAUGCGAAGCAGAAGGCAACACGGAGCAUGGCUUAUACGCCAGCCAUGCUCUGAUCUCCCUCAGUCGGAGACCC
rnacentral:ncRNA from 2 species